AUCAAAUUUAUAACAUGAUAAUGAUAAGAAGAGAGAAAAAGAGAAAUAAGAAAUGUUAGUGAAAUAUUUAAAAUAUGAAUGAUUAACUGAGAAUUUGCGGAGGGAAGUUUCUUGCUCAUUUAAAUUAACUGAUUAACUGAGAAUAGUAAGUUGGCUUUGCUUUCUAUGAUUCGAUCAUUCUUCUAAGUCGGACCCGAUGGAUAAAUUAAGUUUUCUUUCUUCUUCUCUCUUCAGUCUUUGACUCUGUUAGAAAUCCAAAAAUGACCAAAUCGCACUGCCAAACUAAAGUUUCAGUUCUUGAUUUCUUUCUUCUCCUCAUUUCAGUUGUUCGUCAGUAAUGCCAAAUUUAAAUUUAGUAAGAUAGAUUUCCGUGAUUGGCGUGUUCGAUGUGAGAGGUGCUUUUGAAUGUGAAGCAAACACUGGAGAUGACUAGUGGGUUUGAUAUGGCUCCCCUGCUUCUGCCAUGUUGGUUGGUGCUUCUGUUGUUGCAGGAAUUUUGAAUGAUGCUUUAGGAGCACAAUUUAUUUUAUUAGCCGUCACAAUAUUUUGUGGCAUGGAAAAGGAGGAACAGAGGGCAACGAUUUCACCUCCAUAAGUGAGAAUUGCAACCAGAUAGUUAAUCAACUUAAUUUGGAGAAAGGAAUUACAAAAUUGAGUCAAGAGAUACAGUUUGAAACAACUGAAUGUGGAGGCAGAGACGGAAUUAAAAUUUCCAAAUUACAAUGUUUAUGAGAGAAUUAUAAACUAAAUCAUAACAUUAAUCCGAUGCUCAAAUUUAUGGAUUCCUAGCAGUUACAACAUAAAAGGAAGAGACGUUGAUGUCUUGCAUGUGUAGAUUUAGGUUGAUGGGGUUCUGGUUCAUGAGAGAGAGAUGACAGGAAGAAGAAGUUUGCAUCGAACAAAUAGAGGGAAUGUCGAUUUCGUUUUUAAAAGAAAUAUUUGACUGUUUAUUGUUAUUUAUUAUUUUACACAUUGGUAUUAUUUUUAUUUGAUUAUGGUUAAGAAUGAUUUGUUGGGGAA